UGGGGAAUAUUGCACAAUGGGCGCAAGCCUGAUGCAGCAACGCCGCGUGAGGGAUGACGGCCUUCGGGUUGUAAACCUCUUUUAGCAGGGAAGAAGCGAAAGUGACGGUACCUGCAGAAAAAGCACCGGCUAACUACGUGCCAGCAGCCGCGGUAAUACGUAGGGUGCAAGCGUUGUCCGAAUUAUUGGGGCGUAAAGAGCUCGUAGGCGGUCUGUCGCGUCUGCUGUGAAAUUCCCGAGGCUCAACCUCGGGCCUGCAGUGGGUACGGGCAGACUAGAGUGCGGUAGGGGAGAAUGGAAGCUCCUGGUGUAGCGGUGGAAUGCGCAGAUAUCAGGAAGAACACCGAUGGCGAAGGCAGUUCUCUGGGCCNUAACUGACGCUGAGGAGC
rnacentral:rRNA from 1 species